UAGACCCGAAACCCGGUGAUCUAGCCAUGGGCAGGUUGAAGGUUGGGUAACACUAACUGGAGGACCGAACCGACUAAUGUUGAAAAAUUAGCGGAUGACCUGUGGCUGGGGGUGAAAGGCCAAUCAAACCGGGAGAUAGCUGGUUCUCCCCGAAAGCUAUUUAGGUAGCGCCUCGUGAAUUCAUCUCCGGGGGUAGAGCACUGUUUCGGCUAGGGGGCCAUCCCGGCUUACCAACCCGAUGCAAACUGCGAAUACCGGAGAAUGUUAUCACGGGAGACACACGGCGGGUGCUAACGUCCGUCGUGAAGAGGGAAACAACCCAGACCGCCAGCUAAGGUCCCAAAGUCAUGGUUAAGUGGGAAACGAUGUGGGAAGGCCCAGACAGCCAGGAUGUUGGCUUAGAAGCAGCCAUCAUUUAAAGAAAGCGUAAUAGCUCACUGGUCGAGUCGGCCUGCGCGGAAGAUGUAACGGGGCUAAACCAUGCACCGAAGCUGCGGCAGCGACGCUGAUGCGUUGUUGGGUAGGGGAGCGUUCUGUAAGCCUGCGAAGGUGGCCUGUGAGGGUUGCUGGAGGUAUCAGAAGUGCGAAUGCUGACAUAAGUAACGAUAAAGCGGGUGAAAAGCCCGCUCGCCGGAAGACCAAGGGUUCCUGUCCAACGUUAAUCGGGGCAGGGUGAGUCGACCCCUAAGGCGAGGCCGAAAGGCGUAGUCGAUGGGAAACGGGUUAAUAUUCCCGUACUUGGUGUUACUGCGAAGGGGGGACGGAGAAGGCUAUGUUGGCCGGGCGACGGUUGUCCCGGUUUAAGCGUGUAGGUGUGUGUUCCAGGUAAAUCCGGUUCACUUUAACACUGAGGCGUGACGACGAGGCACUACGGUGCUGAAGCAACAAAUGCCCUGCUUCCAGGAAAAGCCUCUAAGCAUCAGGUAACAUCAAAUCGUACCCCAAACCGACACAGGUGGUCAGGUAGAGAAUACCAAGGCGCUUGAGAGAACUCGGGUGAAGGAACUAGGCAAAAUGGUGCCGUAACUUCGGGAGAAGGCACGCUGACACGUAGGUGAAGUGAUUUACUCAUGGAGCUGAAGUCAGUCGAAGAUACCAGCUGGCUGCAACUGUUUAUUAAAAACACAGCACUGUGCAAACACGAAAGUGGACGUAUACGGUGUGACGCCUGCCCGGUGCCGGAAGGUUAAUUGAUGGGGUCAGCGCAAGCGAAGCUCCUGAUCGAAGCCCCGGUAAACGGCGGCCGUAACUAUAACGGUCCUAAGGUAGCGAAAUUCCUUGUCGGGUAAGUUCCGACCUGCACGAAUGGCGUAAUGAUGGCCAGGCUGUCUCCACCCGAGACUCAGUGAAAUUGAACUCGCUGUGAAGAUGCAGUGUACCCGCGGCAAGACGGAAAGACCCCGUGAACCUUUACUAUAGCUUGACACUGAACAUUGAGCCUUGAUGUGUAGGAUAGGUGGGAGGCUUUGAAGUGUGGACGCCAGUCUGCAUGGAGCCGACCUUGAAAUACCACCCUUUAAUGUUUGAUGUUCUAACGUGGACCCGUGAUCCGGGUUGCGGACAGUGUCUGGUGGGUAGUUUGACUGGGGCGGUCUCCUCCUAAAGAGUAACGGAGGAGCACGAAGGUUGGCUAAUCCUGGUCGGACAUCAGGAGGUUAGUGCAAUGGCAUAAGCCAGCUUGACUGCGAGCGUGACGGCGCGAGCAGGUGCGAAAGCAGGUCAUAGUGAUCCGGUGGUUCUGAAUGGAAGGGCCAUCGCUCAACGGAUAAAAGGUACUCCGGGGAUAACAGGCUGAUACCGCCCAAGAGUUCAUAUCGACGGCGGUGUUUGGCACCUCGAUGUCGGCUCAUCACAUCCUGGGGCUGAAGUAGGUCCCAAGGGUAUGGCUGUUCGCCAUUUAAAGUGGUACGCGAGCUGGGUUUAGAACGUCGUGAGACAGUUCGGUCCCUAUCUGCCGUGGGCGCUGGAGAACUGAGGGGGGCUGCUCCUAGUACGAGAGGACCGGAGUGGACGCAUCACUGGUGUUCGGGUUGUCAUGCCAAUGGCACUGCCCGGUAGCUAAAUGCGGAAGAGAUAAGUGCUGAAAGCAUCUAAGCACGAAACUUGCCCCGA
rnacentral:rRNA from 1 species